UACGGAGGGAGCUAGCGUUGUUCGGAAUUACUGGGCGUAAAGCGCGCGUAGGCGGCUGUUCAAGUCAGAGGUGAAAGCCCGGGGCUCAACCCCGGAACUGCCUUUGAAACUAGAUAGCUAGAAUCUUGGAGAGGUCAGUGGAAUUCCGAGUGUAGAGGUGAAAUUCGUAGAUAUUCGGAAGAACACCAGUGGCGAAGGCGACUGACUGGACAAGUAUUGACGCUGAGGUGCGAAAGCGUGGGGAGCAAACAGGG
rnacentral:rRNA from 1 species